rnacentral:rRNA from 1 species
CUACGGGAGGCAGCAGUGGGGAAUAUUGGACAAUGGGCGCAAGCCUGAUCCAGCCAUGCCGCGUGAGUGAUGAAGGCCCUAGGGUUGUAAAGCUCUUUCACCGGUGAAGAUAAUGACGGUAACCGGAGAAGAAGCCCCGGCUAACUUCGUGCCAGCAGCCGCGGUAAUACGAAGGGGGCUAGCGUUGUUCGGAAUUACUGGGCGUAAAGCGCACGUAGGCGGGUAUUUAAGUCAGGGGUGAAAUCCCAGAGCUCAACUCUGGAACUGCCUUUGAUACUGGGUACCUAGAGUAUGGAAGAGGUAAGUGGAAUUCCGAGUGUAGAGGUGAAAUUCGUAGAUAUUCGGAGGAACACCAGUGGCGAAGGCGGCUCACUGGUCCGGUACUGACGCUGAGGUGCGAAAGCGUGGGGAGCAAACAGGAUUAGAAACCCUUGUAGUCC